AUUAUAAUUUUAAUUUUAGUAGACUAGAGUUUUUUUUUUUUUUGCAAUAUUUUUCCUAGUCUUACAUUCCUUUCAAAAAUGAUAGUAAUAUAUAUAUGUAGAUAUUUAUUUUGGUCCAUUCAUGUGUGUGCAAGAUGAAAUAUGUUUAUGUCAUGAAUGCAAGUUUUUGAAUAAUGUCUCCAUGAAUAAGUGUUUCUUCAAAAGUGAAUCCGAUUAAAAGUUCAUUUUUAGAUUAUUUUUAAAAGGAGGUUGUGUGGAUUUUGACAUCAUUAAUUUUACAUGUACAAGUUAACAAAACUACAUAAUUUUUCUUUACAAAUUUUGACUUGGCACUUUCAUUCCUCAAAACCAUUGCAUUGAUAUUUUAUCAUCCCUAUCAUCAAACUUACAAUGGCAGUUGUUUCAUAACUGAUGUAUUUUAUGUUGGAGAGAGAGCUGAGUUUUUAUUGUGCGUGUGUAGAAUUGUAAAAAUGACUGUGCGUACACUGUUAUAAAGUAUGUUUAUAUAUAUUUUUUAAUAUAUUGAAAUAAAGGAUGAAAUAUGGU
rnacentral:sRNA from 1 species